GUUAAUUGUGGGCUUUAUACAGUUUUGUUUUGUUUUGUUUUGUUUUGUUUUUGUUUUUUGAGAUGGAAUCUCACUCUGUUGCCCAGGCUGGAGUGCAAUGGCAUGAUAUCGGCUCAUUGCAACCUCUGCCUCCCGGGUUCGAGUGAUUCUCCUGCCUCAGCCUCCCGAGCAACUGGGACUACAGGUGCGUGCCACCACGCCCGGCUUAUUUUUGUAUUUUUAGUAGAGAUGGGGUUUCACAAUAUUAAUCAGGCUGGUCUUGAACUCCUGAUCUUGUGAUCUGCCCUCCUCAACCUCCCAAAGUGCUGGGAUUACAGGCGUGAGCCACCAUGCCAGGCCCACUUAUAGUUUUACUUUUUAAAAUAUAGGGCUUUGAGACUGGUUUUAAAAUAUUAAAUUUGGUUGAAACUAGUCACACAUUAGAAAUGAUAGCUCAGGAUGACCAACUGGCAACAGAAAAAUCUGCAUACGUAUUUUCUAGAUGUGGGCUUAUGGAGACAUAUGGGGCCAUACCUGUCUUGUGAGCUACGUUCUCUCAUGCUUAGGUUUCAAGCGGGGUGGUUGACAAAACAUACCCAGCUCACGUAACUAACGAUAAGUCAUUUGCCCGGGUGGUCCUUUAAGGCCAACCUUGACGUUUCACACAUGUGAGCCUGAUUGACCAGUGAAUGGAGAACACUCUUCGUGGGUCUGCUGAGGAAGAAGAACUUGGAGAGACUAAUCACCAUUUUCCUACUAGGUUCUUAAUGGCUUUAGAAACUGAGUUUCUCUCUAGACUUUGAUGAGAAGCAGAAGAAAAAGCAACCAGGAAAGAACAAUAUAGUGCUCUGAUAUGUCUCAGAGCCAACUACCAUGAAUACCAAAACAGACAUUGGCAAGCAAGGAUACAGACCUGUGAAUUGCAGCUAUAAGAAAUUAAGAAAUACCACCCUGAGCAGGACCAAGUUGAAUUUGGAAGCUAUGGCUUGUUUUUGUUUUUGUUUUUAAGUGAUAAGCUGACUUGAGAUAAAAGGAAGGCGAGAAGGCUCAUUCCUUCAAUUACCAACUGCUUCCUGAACAUGAAUAAGCAUGAAUAAGGCAUCCCUUCCACGUGCAAUGAAGGAAACAGAAGCAGAAAAUACAAAUCAG
rnacentral:lncRNA from 1 species